UUGGGUAAAUUAUAUUAGAAUGGGUCUGCUGGUUUGGUGGUUAAAUGGUGUGUUAUUAUGGUGGAGGUUUUAUAUUUGAAUCCCUAUGCAGGCAAGGGUAUUAUUUUUUGCUCAGAUUUCAGGACAGAGUUGUGUAAUAGGGGGAUUUUGAGUAGUGGGUGUGUAGUGGGAAUUAGGGGAGAAGAUUAAGGGAUUUUGGGAGUUUUCAGGAUUUUAUUUUAUUUAUUUUCCAUAACCGAAUUUUGAU
rnacentral:lncRNA from 1 species